CACUGAGAAAUCCUGUCUUGAAAAACAAAACAAAAAACAAAACAAAACAAGACAACCAACCAACCAACAACCAACCAAACAAACAAAAAAACCAAGCAACAACAGCAACAAAACAACAAAGGUUUAUUAAAAUAGUUUGGAAUGUGAAUUGGAUUUGUAAAAUGCCUCUGUCUCUCUCAGUCCUGGCCCUGAGACUUUCUUGUGCCUGAGAUAUCAUCAUGGUGUUUAACUACUGUUUGAGCCCCGUCUCUAAUCUGAAAUGCUUUGACACAUGGCCCACUGUGUCCGUGGUUGAUCCUACAAUCACCCUGAAGUAGAACACAGCAUCCCUUGACACAGUAGCUGCACAAAGGUCUCUGUAGGGUUGAGGGGCCCUGACUGAGUCAGCUCUUAUGUCUUCUAGAAGUUGCUUGAUGGCUGAGCAGUUAUAUAUGUCUGGGUGCAUCUGCACUUUGGGAAUCAGCUAAAAGAACAAUGAUCGGAAAGGACCUCAAGGAAGACUCUUGAAGACAACUCGAUGUUAUUCUUUCUGUCUCUUUGCCCAUGACAGGGCUUGGUAGAUUCUGGCCUCUGAGUAGCAGAAUGAAGUAAGCUGCUGCGAAAGAGACUUCCUCAACUCACAAAGCAGGCAUAUUUACUAGCUGGUUAUUCAUAGAACAACUAUUCUGACUUUGGCUGCAGUUGGCUGACCUGGGAACAUCACCACGACUGUGACAAGGGAACAAGGGAGGAAACGGAGUCCUAUAAACCACCUCCUCACGCCAACUAACAUGCCAAUAGACAAAGAAAGUCACACGUCACACAAAUGACCUCAGAAUCAAAGGGUUUAGACUCAGGUUUCCAAGCGAGAGCAGCGUCAGCAUCACAAGACACAGGGUCAGUGUGAUGGAGGAGUGACGGAUGGAAAAGACCGUUCAUGGCCACUUUGUGAUGCUGUUAUGACGUUCUCUGCAGAGACUCUAAAACCUCAUGCCAUGAAGGCAGCCUUUGUUCUAAUGCGCCAGUCAUCAUCUGAUCAGAUUAAUUGUAACCCAUGCUAUGCUCUGUGUGACAACAAUGGUUGCCACAAAGCUUAAAAAAAUGCAAGCGUAUGAAUUUGCAACAUGCCGCCUUAGGAAGACAGAUGGGAUAGGAACAAAUAUUUGGAUAGCCUUAUCGCCUCUAGAACCAAGCUGGUUCCCAAACUGUGCCCCGUCUGUUCUCUUGAAAUUAUCAUCUGCACCCUGCUCCCAACCAAACACUUCAUAAUAUUUAAUUUUUUUUUCUAUCGGUGUAGUAAAUGUAGAUCAGAGAGCAUUACUGGCCUAAAGGUAAUGACCAUGUUGGUGUUUGAUGUAACAAUUAAUAUUAGUCCAUGGCUUAUAUUUGCCAUGAAAAUAAAUACUACUUUAAAUU